GACGAACGCUGGCGGCGUGCUUAACACAUGCAAGUCGAACGGAAAGGCCCUGCUUUUGUGGGGUGCUCGAUUGGCGAACGGGUGAGUAACACGUGAGUAACCUGCCCUUGACUUUGGGAUAACUUCAGGAAACUGGGGCUAAUACCGGAUAGGAUCUCCUGCUGCAUGGUGGGGGUUGGAAAGUUUCGGCUGUUGGGGAUGGACUCGCGGCUUAUCAGCUUGUUGGUGGGGUAGUGGCUUACCAAGGCUUUGACGGGUAGCCGGCCUGAGAGGGUGACCGGCCACAUUGGGCCUGAGAUACGGCCCAGACUGCUACGGGAGGCAGCAGUGGGGAAUAUUGCACAAUGGGCGGAAGCCAGAUGCAGCAACGCCGCGUGCGGGAUGACGGCCUUCGGGUUGUGAACCGAUUUCGCCUGUGACGAAGCGUGAGUGACGGUAAUGGGUAAAGAAGCACCGGCUAACUACGUG
rnacentral:rRNA from 1 species